rnacentral:rRNA from 1 species
UGGUAGGAUAGAGGCCUACCAUGGUGGUAACGGGUAACGGGGUGUUAGGGCACGACACCGGAGAGGGAGCCUGAGAAACGGCUACCACAUCCAAGGAUGGCAGCAGGCGCGCAAAUUACCCAAUCCCGACACGGGGAGGUAGUGACAAUAAAUAACAAUACGGGGUUCUUUAGGAUCUCGUAAUUGGAAUGAGUACAAUUUAAAUCUCUUAACGAGGAACAAUUGGAGGGCAAGUCUGGUGCCAGCAGCCGCGGUAAUUCCAGCUCCAAUAGCGUAUAUUAAAGUUGUUGCAGUUAAAAAGCUCGUAGUUGAAUUUCGGGGUUAGUAGGUUGGUCAUGCCUCUGGUAUGUACUGGUCUCACUGAUUCCUCCUUCCUUAUGAACCGUAAUGCCAUUAAUUUGGUGUUGCGGGGAAUUUGGACUGUUACUUUGAAAAAAUUAGAGUGUUUAAAGCAAGCUAACGCUUGAAUACAUUAGCAUGGAAUAAUGAAAUAGGACGUUCGAUCCUAUUUUGUUGGUUUCUAGGAUUGACGUAAUGAUUAAUAGGGAUAGUUGGGGGCAUUAGUAUUCAAUUGUCAGAGGUGAAAUUCUUGGAUUUAUUGAAGACUAACUACUGCGAAAGCAUUUGCCAAGGAUGUUUUCAUUAAUCAAGAACGAAAGUUAGGGGAUCGAAGACGAUCAGAUACCGUCGUAGUCUUAACCAUAAACUAUGCCGACUAGGGAUCGGAUGA